AUUCCCUUUCAAACAACAAUACAAAAGAUCUCCCCCUUUGGCCCCCAACUUGUGGUUUGUUACCCCUCUAGACUUCCUCUUAUAAAUACCAGCAAAUAUGUCUCCUCUUUUCCACAAAUCCCAUUCAUAUCCUUUUUCCUUUAAACACAAACGUUGAAUUCUUUUUAUUCUAACUCAUUCUUUUUUUUAAAAAAAAAAAAAAAAAAGUUUUUCUCUCUCCAUUAUUUCAAACCCAAUUAAAGUUAGAAAUAUACAUUUAAGAAAAUAAAAGUAUGGCUUCAAUGUCAGCUCAUGGGUCAGGUGUAUGGACUGCAAAGCAAAACAAGGCAUUUGAGAAAGCUUUGGCAAUGUAUGAUAAAGACACACCCGAUAGAUGGUUGAAUGUUGCAAAAGCCAUUGGUGGAAAAACUGAAGAGGAAGUCAAAAGGCAUUACCAACUUCUUUUGGAGGAUGUUAAGCAUAUUGAGUCUGGCAAAGUUCCUUUUCCUUAUAGAACCUCAAGAGGCAAUUAAGUGCUACUAACAUAUGAUCAAAAGAUGGAGGAUGAGAAACAUGAAGUUGAAUGAAGCCAGGUGCACGCAGUACUGGAAGAAUAAAAAGGACAGAGCCAUUUUCUUGCUGUUGCAUACCUUUUUUUUUUCCCUAUUUUAUCUUUUCAAAUCCAAUUGCAGUAGGUCAAAUGAAUAAGCUUUUAUGAAUUUAUUAUAUUAAAUCAAACCAUCAAUAUUAUCAUUUA